CAGGAUAGCUGGAGUAUAUAUUUUAUAAUGAUAAGUUAGAUUAGGUAAAGCGAAUGAUUAGAAGUAUGGGUAAAAAAUUUUCUUCACUUAUUCUCAAACUUUAAUAGGUCUAUAUUAUAAGAAAUAAAUUAAUUUUAUUUUUAUUGAAAAGAGAAUUUUGAAAAACUCUUUGUGGGGCCAUUCCUGGUAAGCAGGACUGGCGAUGUGGGAUGAACCAAACGUAAAAGUUAAAGUGCCUAAAUUUUUAAUGCUCAUUCUAGAUACCAUAAAAGGUGUGGCUUGAUCUAGACAGAAGGACGGUGGUCAUGGAAGUCGAAAUCCGCUAAGAAGUGUGUAAAAACUUACCUUUCGAAUUAAGUUGCCCUGAAAAUGGAUGGCGCUUAAGCAUUUAAAAAAUAUUUUAUAUAUCUUUACUUAGACUUUACUAUUAAAAUUUAACUUGAUUUUAAUAUGUAGGAGGAUUGCGUUAAAAAAAUUAUAUCAGUAUUGAAAAUCUUGAUGAAAAAAGAUUGAAACUUUUUUAAGUGCAGAUCUUGGCUGUAGUAGC
rnacentral:rRNA from 1 species